AGCUCCAAUAGCGUAUAUUUAAGUUGCUGCAGUUAAAAAGCUCGUAGUUGGAUUUCGGAUGGGUUCCGUCGGUCCGCCGCUUCGGUGUGCACCGGCGGCGCCCAUCUUGCUGCCGGGGACGGGCUCCUGGGCUUCACUGUCCGGGACUCGGAGUCGGCGAGGUUACUUUGAGUAAAUUAGAGUGUUCAAAGCAGGCCUACGCUCUGAAUACAUUAGCAUGGAAUAACACGAUAGGACUCUGGCCUAUCUUGUUGGUCUGUAGGACCGGAGUAAUGAUUAAGAGGGACAGUCGGGGGCAUUCGUAUUUCAUUGUCAGAGGUGAAAUUCUUGGAUUUAUGAAAGACGAACUACUGCGAAAGCAUUUGCCAAGGAUGUUUUCA
rnacentral:rRNA from 1 species